AGUGAACGCUGGCGGUAGGCCUAACACAUGCAAGUCGAACGGCAGCACAGAGGAGCUUGCUCCUUGGGUGGCGAGUGGCGGACGGGUGAGGAAUACAUCGGAAUCUACUCUGUCGUGGGGGAUAACGUAGGGAAACUUACGCUAAUACCGCAUACGACCUACGGGUGAAAGCAGGGGAUCUUCGGACCUUGCGCGAUUGAAUGAGCCGAUGUCGGAUUAGCUAGUUGGCGGGGUAAAGGCCCACCAAGGCGACGAUCCGUAGCUGGUCUGGGAGGAUGAUCAGCCACACUGGAACUGAGACACGGUCCAGACUCCUACGGGAGGCAGCAGUGGGGAAUAUUGGACAAUGGGCGCAAGCCUGAUCCAGCCAUACCGCGUGGGUGAAGAAGGCCUUCGGGUUGUAAAGCCCUUUUGUUGGGAACGAAAAGCCCCGGGUUAAUACCCUGGGGUCAUGACGGUACCGUAAGAAUAAGCACCGGCUAACUACGUGCCAGCAGCCGCAGUAA
rnacentral:rRNA from 1 species